UGGCCGGUUCCGGGAACGGCGGCGUUUGGGAUUGAAGAGAUAUUCACCGGGAUUCUGUCUGACGGGAGAAAGACAUGGAAAACGAGAGCGGGCGGGAGCUGAGGAAAGCAAGAGGCACCAUCAGAGUUCAAGAACACAUUCUAGCCAAGUGAAAACACGCUGUGGGCUGUUGACGGAUGUGGUUGUGGAGAGCCUUGAGGAGCAGCUGGAGAUGCCUGGAAGGAUGUAUUUGGCCUCACCUCUGCAGAGUUGACUUCAGUGUGCAAUAGCCAGAAGUUUCUGCAUGCAAAUGUCUCUCUCCAUCGUGUAUCUAAACAAGCCAGGUGCAGUGUAGUGGGACAACAGGAAAAGGGACAACAUUGGCUCACUUACAGGUAGGCCAUAUCCUGGGAAUGGUAGUUUUCCAUUACGAACAUGCAAUUCCCAUUAUUCUUUUGGGAAACUUAUGUCCUUUAGAUGUGCUUUGAAUGUAUGGUGUGGGUGUGAUCCUAUGUGGCAUUUAAAAAGGCACCUUGCCAUUUCUUUAAGCAUGUCUGCUUGACCAUCAUUCUUGAUGAAACAGGUUCUCUACACCACGCUCCUUCCAUGAGCCACUCUUGGCAAACAAACCUGCAUCACUUUUUUCCAAACUCUCAUGGUGACAGCAGAGUGUCACCCACUUACUGUAUGUGUUGCUCACUUCUAAGUUAUUUAAACAAGGCAGAGCUGCAUCUAGUGGCUUACUCACUGCGAUGCCAUGAGAACGUGAGCCAGGGAAGAGACAUGUGCUGGCAGGAAAGUGCUG